CAGCCCUUUACCGGGGCGUUGGCUGAUCGCUUUGGCGCGGCGAAAGUGGUGAUCGUUGGCGGCGUGCUGUAUGCCGUAGGGCUGU
rnacentral:tRNA from 2 species